CAUUUCUCUUCUCCAUGUCCACUUCCGCCUAAAGAU
rnacentral:sRNA from 1 species